UACGUAGGGAGCAAGCGUUGUUCGGAUUUACUGGGCGUAAAGGGCGCGUAGGCGGCGCGACAAGUCACUUGUGAAAUCUCCGGGCUUAACUCGGAACGGUCAAGUGAAACUGUCAUGCUAGAGUGCAGAAGGGGCAAUCGGAAUUCUUGGUGUAGCGGUGAAAUGCGUAGAUAUCAAGAGGAACACCUGAGGUGAAGACGGGUUGCUGGGCAUCUCCUGACGCUGAGGCGCGAAAGCGUGGGGAGCAAACGGG
rnacentral:rRNA from 1 species